rnacentral:tRNA from 1 species
AAUGUAGCUUAGUGGUAGAGUGUAUGCUUAGCAUGCAGGAGGCCCUAGGCUCAAUUCCUAGUGUU